AGCGGCGGACGGGUGAGUAACGCGUGGGUAACCUGCCUCAUACAGGGGGAGUAACAGUUAGAAAUGACUGCUAAUACCGCAUAAGCGCACAGGACCGCAUGGUCAAGUGUGAAAAACUCCGGUGGUAUGAGAUGGACCCGCGUCUGAUUAGUUAGUUGGUGGGGUAACGGCCCACCAAGGCGACGAUCAGUAGCCGGCCUGAGAGGGUGAACGGCCACAUUGGGACUGAGACACGGCCCAAACUCCUACGGAAGGCAGCAG
rnacentral:rRNA from 1 species